rnacentral:rRNA from 1 species
UCGAAUAAAAUUCUAGUAGAAAACUGAUUAUGACAAUUUUCUAUCUAUGUGUCUUGACCAAAUUACGUGCCAGCAGUCGCGGUAAUACGUAGAAGACUAGUGUUAUUCAUCUUUAUUAGGUUUAAAGGGUACCUAGACGGCAUUAUUUGCCCGAAUUAGGGUACGGUAUUGCUAGAGUUUUAUAAGAGAAGGGGAGAAUUUAUGGAGUAGAGAUGAAAUUUGUUGAUACCAUGAGGACUGAUAACGGCGAAAGCAACCUUCUAUGUGAUAACUGACGUUGAGGGACGAAGGCUUGGGUAGCAAGCAGGAUUAGAUACCCUAGUAGUCCAAGCAGAAAAUUAUGAAUGCCAUAUAUAAAUGAAAGUGUAAGCAUUUCACCUUAAGAGUAAUGCGGCAACGCAGGAACUGAAAUCAUUAGACCGUUUCUGAAACCAGUAGUGAAGUAUGUUAUUUAAUUCGAUAAUCCUCGAAAAACCUUACCACACAAGCGUUGCACGGCUGUCUUCAGUUAAUGUCGUGAGAUUUUGGUUAGUUCCAUAAAAUUAACGAAAACCC